rnacentral:rRNA from 1 species
CAGCCGCGGUAAUACGUAGGGGGCAAGCGUUGUCCGGAUUUAUUGGGCGUAAAGAGCGUGUAGGCGGCCAUACAGGUCCGUUGUGAAAACUGGAGGCUUAACCUCCAGACGUCGAUGGAAACCGUAUGGCUAGAGUCCGGAAGAGGAGAGUGGAAUUCCUGGUGUAGCGGUGAAAUGCGCAGAUAUCAGGAAGAACACCCGUGGCGAAGGGGGCUCUCUGGGACGGUACUGACGCUGAGACGCGAAAGCGUGGGGAGCGAACAGGAUUAGAUACACUGGUAGUCCACGCCGUAAACGAUGGUUGCUAGGUGUGGGGGGUGUCGACUCCCUCCGUGCCGCAGCUAACGCAUUAA